UACAGAGGUCUCAAGCGUUGUUCGGAUUCAUUGGGCGUAAAGGGUGCGUAGGUGGCGGGGUAAGUCGGAUGUGAAAUCCCGGGGCUCAACCUUGGAACUGCAUUCGAUACUGCUUUGCUUGAGUACUGGAGAGGAGAUUGGAAUUUACGGUGUAGCAGUGAAAUGCGUAGAUAUCGUAAGGAAGACCAGUGGCGAAGGCGGAUCUCUGGACAGUUACUGACACUGAGGCACGAAGGCCAGGGGAGCAAACGGG
rnacentral:rRNA from 1 species